GUUUUGAAACGCAAGGACAUGAGGUUUGGAGGGGUCAGGGCAGAAUGAUAUGGUUUGGCUGUGUCCCCAUUCAAAUCUCAACUUGAAUUUUAUCUCCCAGAAUUCCCACAUGUUGUGGAAGGGACCCAGUGGGAGGUCAAAUGAAUCAUGGGGGCUGGUCUUUCCCGUGCUAGUCUCAUGAUAGUAAGUCUCAUGAGAUUCAGUGGGUUUAUUAGGGAUUUCUGCUUUUGCUUCCUCAUUUUCUCUUGCCACCACCAUGUACAAAGAACCUUUCACCUCCCGCCAAGAUUCUGAGGCCUCACAAGUCUUCAUCAACCACCUGAAAUUCUCCAAGAUGAGCUGGAUCAUCAACCCAAAUAAAACCUGGAGGAAAAGGAAAAGAAAGGUCAUUGGUACAGGACAAAGACCCAGCCUCCUAGAACACUGAUAGGCCAGAACAGAAAAGGGUGGAAAGUGGAUCUGAAGAGCAAAUUGCAAACAACAACAACAAAAAAAAAGAAAAAAAAAAAGAACUCAUUUGAUUAACAACUUUCCUCUAUGCUCAUGUCAAACUAUGUCUAAAUAUCUUGGCAUAUAUUAGGGAAGAUGCUUUUUCACUUUCAUUGGGUAAUUAUUUGGCUAGGCCACCCAAUCUCCCCCAUAUAACUAUAGUACUGAAAAUGUAAAAAUAGUUAAAGAUAAAAGUAGAAUUCCCAUUCUUUUUUGUUCUUAGAUGAUUUAUGAAGUGUCCAUUGGUAUAUGCAUAUGGGUAUCUAUUUUCCUAGGUCAGGAAUUUACAGAACAUUAAAAAAAAAUGCUUUCCUAGUUAUAUAGUUUUCUACUUCAGUCCUUUUUUAAGAAUGAAGCAUAUUCAAGAGACU
rnacentral:lncRNA from 1 species